AAACUUCUAAUAUACACCUAAACUAUAUAUAACAUUUUAAACUUAAAUUAUAUAUUUUUAAGAACAUAUCUAACUAUAUAGGGUUUAUAACUUUCAAAUAUAAAACUAUAAAUCUAAUAUCCUAAACAAUAUAUUCUUAACACCAAACCCUUUAUCAUAAAUACUAACCUUUCAUUUUAAACUUGUAAUCUUAAAAUUUUAAUUAUAAAUCAUAAAAUCAAAAUAUAAAUUAACUAUAUAGGUUAUAACUUUAAAAUACAAAACUAUAAAUCUAAUACCCUAAACAACAUACUCGUAACACCAAACCCUAUAUCAUCAUCUCUAAACUUUAUGUUUAUCCAAAUAUCAAUCACAAAGUUUAAUUUUUAAAAGUAUAAAUUUAUAUCUAAAAAUUUUAAAUUGUGAAUUAUAAAUUUAGAUGUUUUCUCAAAAUAAAUUUUAUUUACGAAAAUAUAUCAUAAAUAUUUUAUAUAUUACAAUACAAAAUAGAAUAUAAACAAUCGUGUUAAAAAAAAUAGGAAAUAAUGUAUAAAAAUUUGAUUGGUCAACAUAAGUAGCCUAUCACAUGCAAGAGCGAGGAUCAUACUUUAUGUAAUCACGAUCAUUGAUUGAAUUUUUUAAAGGGUCAAGAUUCAUUCUGCUUCUUCCUCUCUCUCUCGUCUCUUUCUUUUCAGAUUCUUCAUCCAAUUUUGGAAGAGUUACAGACUCACAAAUCUCAUCUUCAUCCCUCUCGUAUCUCCAAUUUUUUGAAGUCAUCGUCACUACCAAACCUCUUCCAUCGCCUCUGUCUCUCAAUAUUCUUUUCCACUCAACACUACAGAUCCAUGUCUAUCAUCGUCACAACCACCAUCACCAUAACCUCCAACGCCCCCAUCUCUAUCUCCUCGUUCUCUGCCUCCGUCAGUGAAGCUGCCUCAACCUCAGCCGCUGCCACCAUCAUCUUCAUCUCCACCUCCUCGUUCUCUACUCCGUCAUCGAACUCUGUCUCAACCACUCUUUUUAUUUGUCCUCUUAUCAAAGCUUCUUCUUUUCCAGAUGCAUAUUGAUGGUCUUAGUUAACAACAACCGUAUCUCAGAUUUGUUAUAUGUUCCUUUUUUUGCUUUGAGAUUUUUGAAUGAUUAGUCUUGUUUAACAAGAUUGUAUCUUGAUUAAAUGGAGAUUUGACUUCAUGGACAGGGAAGAGGAAGUGGAAUUGAUAAUGGGGCUGGUGGUUGUUCUUGUUCCCGUAGUGCACAACAUUGAUAGAAGCCGGAUAUGAAAAAGCUCUGCUGGUGGAGAUGGAGCAGAGCAAGAAGAAGAAGAUGAGAAAGAGGGAGAAGGAGAGAAGACAUAGACGUAAGGAAGACGAUGAAGAUGGAGGAGGUGCGACAAAACAAGACGAUGGGAAGAAGGAAGCGGCGUAGAUUAGGUUCACUUUUGGUUGGUUUAUUAGGUUUGGUUUAGAUAGGUUCAGUUUAAUAAAUCAGAUUUGUGUGUAAACCAAUGUUCAUAAAUACACCGAUAUUAAUUGUAAACCAUUAUUUGUGUACAUUGAUCUUAAUAAAUAAAUAAAAUAAAAAUUUUAAUUA